rnacentral:rRNA from 1 species
GUGGGGAAUAUUGGACAAUGGGCGAAAGCCUGAUCCAGCCAUGCCGCGUGUGUGAAGAAGGUCUUCGGAUUGUAAAGCACUUUAAGUUGGGAGGAAGGGCAGUAAGUUAAUACCUUGCUGUUUUGACGUUACCGACAGAAUAAGCACCGGCUAACUUCGUGCCAGCAGCCGCGGUAAUACGAAGGGUGCAAGCGUUAAUCGGAAUUACUGGGCGUAAAGCGCGCGUAGGUGGUUCAGCAAGUUGAAGGUGAAAUCCCCGGGCUCAACCUGGGAACUGCAUCCAAAACUACUGAGCUAGAGUACGGUAGAGGGUAGUGGAAUUUCCUGUGUAGCGGUGAAAUGCGUAGAUAUAGGAAGGAACACCAGUGGCGAAGGCGACUACCUGGACUGAUACUGACACUGAGGUGCGAAAGCGUGGGGAGCAAACAGGAUUAGAAACCCGUGUAGUCC